AUGUUUGGUUUUACGAUAAUUCCAAUGCGUCUAAGCAACAAAAUUCCUCCUUUUCUAUUGCAUUGGAAUUUAUUCAACUCAAGAACAAACGUAUCCUUAAUACUUGCCUUAUAUACAUGCAAGUGUAGAGUAAUGGGAAAAGCACUAAUGUCUCUAAUGUAUUUAUUUGUUGAACAAUGUGAUGCACUGAAUAUAUUGUCAUAA